rnacentral:lncRNA from 1 species
AAAAAGGUAAUUAGUGCCUUUCUUUUUAUUCUUCCUUUUCCUUUCAUUAUCAUUUUCUUUUUGUCUCAAAAUAAUGAAAAAUGCAUAAGGGUCUGUAGAGAGAAGAAAAUGUCCUUGCCCAUGAACUUCUUGCAGGUAUUUAUCUUGCUUCUUUAUCUUACUAAAAAUAGAAUUGAAAGUUUUUCAUUUUUUGUUUUUCAAUUUUAGAGGAUACAAUGGAGAUUCAGGAACGAAUAGAAAAUAGUUUUAAGUCUUUACUAGACCAGUUAAAAGAUGUCUUCAGUAAAUGUAAAGGUGACCUCUUAGAAGUUAAAGAUGGUAACUUGAAAACACAUCCUACUCUUUUAGAAAAUCUAGUUUUCUUUGUUGAGACUAUUUCUGUUAUCCUUUGGGUAUCCAGUUACUGUGAGAGUGUCCUACGACCAUACAAACUAAAUUUACAGAAAAAG